UUUUUCGCUUGACACCUCCUGGAAGCAAGCCGUGUCCUUUCGUGUUUCUGUGUUUUUUUUUUGUACUGAAGAAAUAGAAAUGGUGCCCCCCUCCGAACGUGUUCUGCCCUGCAAAUAUCCCGGCGACGGCGUCCCCUAAAACGCGCGUCGGGAUUAUUUCGCAGAGGCAAUAUCACGUAUAGAAAACAUUCGUUUUCUUGGGUUAGAUUAAUUGAGGGGGGGGGGGUUAGAAAAUGGUGGAGGAGCGCAAAAACGAGAUUUUAUCGAGCAUGACGUCACAAGGCAUCAGUUUCAACAUCAGUCAACAACUUUUUGACAGAUUUAUGUGAUUUACACUACAGAAUUAUUCAACACAAAAUAAAACCAACAUUAUUCCAAAGUUAACUUUUAUUUCUGCAACAGAAGAUUACAUUAAGAUAAAAUAACGGAGAAAAAGCGCAAUGCCUGUCUUGUAAAUAAAAUUUAAUAAAACACAA